AUGUGUUCAGGAAGCACGGCUUCCAAGCGGUGCAUGGAUGUGGAGAGGAAAUCUGCAACGGGUAGUAGCUCAGGGCGGUUUGUUCAUCAGCGCGAUGUCACCCGUGGUGUUGUGUCGGGACAUGCAGUAACUGAACCAGCGCACUGAAGACAAUUAGGCAGCAUGCUGUGGUCAUCACUCACAGGAGGACGAAAAGAAGAAGACAUAUAUAUUUGUGGACAGCUUCAUCCUGGAGUUCAUUGUUAUUGUCUACAAUGAAUGAACAAUGAUCAUUAACAGAUGGGUAGCCAUUCAUCAGUUCACCCUCAAAGACACCUUUGGAUGUAAAGACAACUACUUUAGCAUUUAUUGAAAACUAAACUGACUCACAAUAAUCUGAUUCAGCUGUCAAAUGUUUUUAGGUGCAGCAAAUCCAAACUAAAGAACCAUGGCACUGGGGCUGAAAAUGUGCAAUGAAUAAAACUAUUCACAUUUCAACAAAUACAA